AGUGAACGCUGGCGGUAGGCCUAACACAUGCAAGUCGAACGGCAGCACAGUAAGAGCUUGCUCUUACGGGUGGCGAGUGGCGGACGGGUGAGGAAUACAUCGGAAUCUACUUUUUCGUGGGGGAUAACGUAGGGAAACUUACGCUAAUACCGCAUACGACCUACGGGUGAAAGCAGGGGAUCUUCGGACCUUGCGCGAUUGAAUGAGCCGAUGUCGGAUUAGCUAGUUGGCGGGGUAAAGGCCCACCAAGGCGACGAUCCGUAGCUGGUCUGAGAGGAUGAUCAGCCACACUGGAACUGAGGCACGGUCCAGACUCCUACGGGAGGCAGCAGUGGGGAAUAUUGGACAAUGGGCGCAAGCCUGAUCCAGCCAUACCGCGUGGGUGAAGAAGGCCUUCGGGUUGUCAAGCCCUUUUGUUGGGAAAGAAAAGCAGCAGGUUAAUACCCCGCUGUUCUGACGGUACCCAAAGAAUAAGCACCGGCUAACUUCGUG
rnacentral:rRNA from 1 species